rnacentral:tRNA from 1 species
UUAGUUAAAGCUAAUAUUUAGCAAUUUAUUGUUAAUAAAUCAUUUGAAUAAUUAAAUAUUCUAACUAAA